rnacentral:rRNA from 1 species
UACGUAGGGGGCGAGCGUUGUCCGGAAUUAUUGGGCGUAAAGAGCUCGUAGGCGGCUUGUCGCGUCGACUGUGAAAACCCGCGGCUUAACUGCGGGACUGCAGUCGAUACGGGCAGGCUAGAGUUCGGUAGGGGAGACUGGAAUUCCUGGUGUAGCGGUGAAAUGCGCAGAUAUCAGGAGGAACACCGGUGGCGAAGGCGGGUCUCUGGGCCGACACUGACGCUGAGGAGCGAAAGCGUGGGGAGCGAACAGG